rnacentral:rRNA from 1 species
AUUGAACGCUGGCGGCAUGCCUUACACAUGCAAGUCGAACGGUAACAGGUCUUCGGAUGCUGACGAGUGGCGAACGGGUGAGUAAUACAUCGGAACGUGCCCGAUCGUGGGGGAUAACGAAGCGAAAGCUUUGCUAAUACCGCAUAAGAUCUACGGAUGAAAGCAGGGGACCGCAAGGCCUUGCGCGAACGGAGCGGCACAUGGCAGAUUAGGUAGUUGGUGGGAUAAAAGCUUACCAAGCCGACGAUCUGUAGCUUGUCUGAGAGGACGACCAGCCACACUGGGACUGAGACACGGCCCAGACUCCGACGGGAGGCAGCAGUGGGGAAUUUUGGACAAUGGGCGAAAGCCUGAUCCAGCCAUGCCGCGUGCAGGAUGAAGGCCUUCGGGUUGUAAACUGCUUUUGUACGGAACGAAAAGACUCUUUCUAAUAAAGAGGGUCCAUGACGGUACCGUAAGAAUAAGCACCGGCUAACUACGUGCCAGCCGCCGCGGUAAUAC